rnacentral:lncRNA from 1 species
GUCUGAUUUAGUGCAGAGCUUGGGCCGAGAUCAGGAGGUGGGAGUUCAACCUUGUCCAUCAGUUUACUCGCAUGAAGACUCAGGCUGUUAAAGAAUAUCUUCUUACUUAACAAAUGCAUUUCUUCUAUUGUUGUCAGUAGUGUGGCUGCACUGUUUCCCACAAUACCACUGAUUGUAUGGUGGUAGAACUUGAGAAGAUUAGAAAUCUUGUACAGUAAAACUGCUCCAGGCUCAGCAACAAUCACCUGCUCAAUCCUAACCUUUAGAGGCCUGCAAACACCCUCUGUGAUGUGCCCAACCACUUCUUGAAUAUUUUCUUCCACACCUACAAUGAAUGCAAGCACAUGCUAAGAUUAUGCAAAUUUAAUUCUCUUUUCUUCAAGACUAGAAAACAAAUAAACAAAUGUAAGAGCUACUCCUCCAUAAAAAACAUGAUGAACAGCAUGUUCUUUUCUUCACAAGACUAGUUUAUAC